rnacentral:rRNA from 1 species
UCCUACGGGAGGCAGCAGUGGGGAAUAUUGCACAAUGGGCGCAAGCCUGAUGCAGCCAUGCCGCGUGUGUGAAGAAGGCCUUCGGGUUGUAAAGCACUUUCAGUCGUGAGGAAGGUAGUGUAGUUAAUAGCUGCAUUAUUUGACGUUAGCGACAGAAGAAGCACCGGCUAACUCCGUGCCAGCAGCCGCGGUAAUACGGAGGGUGCGAGCGUUAAUCGGAAUUACUGGGCGUAAAGCGCAUGCAGGUGGUUUGUUAAGUCAGAUGUGAAAGCCCGGGGCUCAACCUCGGAAUAGCAUUUGAAACUGGCAGACUAGAGUACUGUAGAGGGGGGUAGAAUUUCAGGUGUAGCGGUGAAAUGCGUAGAGAUCUGAAGGAAUACCGGUGGCGAAGGCGGCCCCCUGGACAGAUACUGACACUCAGAUGCGAAAGCGUGGGGAGCAAACAGGAUUAGAUACCCUGGUAGUCCACGCCGUAAACGAUGUCUACUUGGAGGUUGUGGCCUUGAGCCGUGGCUUUCGGAGCUAACGCGUUAAGUAGACCGCCUGGGGAGUACGGUCGCAAGAUUAAAACUCAAAUGAAUUGACGGGGGCCCGCACAAGCGGUGGAGCAUGUGGUUUAAUUCGAUGCAACGCGAAGAACCUUACCUACUCUUGACAUCCAGAGAACUUUCCAGAGAUGGAUUGGUGCCUUCGGGAACUCUGAGACAGGUGCUGCAUGGCUGUCGUCAGCUCGUGUUGUGAAAUGUUGGGUUAAGUCCCGCAACGAGCGCAACCCUUAUCCUUGUUUGCCAGCGAGUAAUGUCGGGAACUCCAGGGAGACUGCCGGUGAUAAACCGGAGGAAGGUGGGGACGACGUCAAGUCAUCAUGGCCCUUACGAGUAGGGCUACACACGUGCUACAAUGGCGCAUACAGAGGGCGGCCAACUUGCGAAAGUGAGCGAAUCCCAAAAAGUGCGUCGUAGUCCGGAUUGGAGUCUGCAACUCGACUCCAUGAAGUCGGAAUCGCUAGUAAUCGUGGAUCAGAAUGCCACGGUGAAUACGUUCCCGGGCCUUGUACACACCGCCCGUCACACCAUGGGAGUGGGCUGCAAAAGAAGUAGGUAG